AUGGUUUUACGUGAUGACAAGGGUGGUGUUAUUUUUGCGGCUUACCGACGCAUUUAUCACUGUAAUGAGGUGCUGGAAGCGGAGUUACAUGCGAUUAUGGAAGGAGUGAGUCUCGCAAUUCAACAGUCAAAUCGACCAGUUCAGCUACAAUCUGAUUGUUUGGCAGCUUUGUCAGCACUAUCUAAUGAUUCACUGGAUAGAUCAGCAUAUGGUCAUCUUUUGGCAGAAAUCAAAGGUUUACUGGAGAAUAGGGUGUUUGUUCGUGUUAAAGUUUCUCGUGAUCAAAACAAAGUUGCACAUUGCUUAGCAAAUUAUGGUAGAUCUGGGGAUAGCACUGCGUGCUGGCUUAACCAAUCCCCUCCUUUUAUUUCUGAACUUGUUGCUAAGGAUUGUAAUUCUGUGAGUUUGGAAUAA
rnacentral:rRNA from 1 species